UACGUAGGGGGCAAGCGUUGUCCGGAUUUAUUGGGCGUAAAGAGCGUGUAGGCGGCCAGGUAGGUCUGCUGUGAAAACUCGAGGCUCAACCUCGAGACGUCGGCGGAAACCAUCUGGCUAGAGUCCGGAAGAGGAGAGUGGAAUUCCUGGUGUAGCGGUGAAAUGCGCAGAUAUCAGGAGGAACACCAAUGGCGAAGGCAGCUCGCUGGGACGUGACUGACGCUGAGACGCGAAAGCGUGGGGAGCAAACAGG
rnacentral:rRNA from 1 species